rnacentral:rRNA from 1 species
CCAGCAAGUAGCGUUGGGCACUCUAGCCAGACUGCCGGUGAUAAAUCGGAGGAAGGUGGGGACGACGUCAAAUCAUCAUGCCCUUUAUGUCCUGGGCUACACACGUACUACAAUGGCCGUUACAACGGGAAGCGAAGGAGCAAUCCGGAGCAAAUCCCUUAAAGGCGGUCCCAGUUCAGAUUGUGGGCUGAAACUCGCCCACAUGAAGGCGGAAUUGCUAGUAAUUGCAGAUCAGCAUGCUGCAGUGAAUACGUUCCCGGGCCUU